CCAUGUACCGAUCAUAACAUCAAGAUCCUCAUUCAGGAAGAAGAUUGUUUCUGAUGUUUGAAAGGAGAAGAAAGGAAAUGAGAAGAAGAAAAAAGAAAAAGGAAGGAAAGAAGGACGAAGACCAGUAGCACGUGCCAACACUCUUGCUCGUUACGAAUCACAUCCUUGUUCUUCGGCCAUUGUCAGAGAUCUCUUUUGGUUGGUGCGUUCGCCGAAACAUUUCGCUUGCGUUUGGGUUACACUGCAUGCAGCACUGCUUGCGUGGCCUCCGCAUUUGCUACCACGCGCGCUAAUGAUGCCGGUUAUUAGGAGAACGCCGCUCGAACUUUCGUGCUCGCGAAAGAAAGGAAAGAGAAGAUGGUGAUGGAAGGAGAAACGGUCAUUAUCGAGGAUGACUGGCAGGGAGGUCAUCGUCGUCGCUCCAGUCGAACGCUUCUACCGAACUGGACCUUACAAUAUAUUCUCUGUCCAAGUUCAACUUAGUUCAUGGAGAAUCGAGAUUCGUAACUCGAACGGAAGUUUAACGUAUUCGUUUUGGCAUGCUAGUGGAAGAUUGUCUUGGAACUCAAGAGGAAAAGGGACGAAGAGCAAACGAAACGUUUAAGAUCUUGCAACGAAGUAACGCUUGUUAUAGCGAUUAUGUGAGAAGGAACGUUUAAUUGGAGUACCUCCAGGAAACGUUGGAAUUAGGAAGAGAAACCUAGCUGAGCUAUGAGUCUCAGCUACGAUAAGAUUCUUGAAAAGGGAUGAGGGUGGUUGGUUGAAGUUGCAUCAGAAACACGAGGGUGUUACCGGAAGCCGGCUUAUCGGCUAAUGUCACUUUAACAUUGUAUCGAGUUAUCGGACGACUCCUUGCGAGCCGAUUAAUUAAGCUAAUUAUCGUUUCCGCACGGAUGGCCACGGUCGGAGAGUACGCUCGGAGACAAAUCGUUUUCGCGUGCACUUCGGGGAAGGCGUUACGCUUCUCGCGUCUCUUGCGAAUCCUUGGAGUAGUAAGAGGAAUCUUCUUUCACGCCUCGUUGCACGAACGCCUAUUAACCUUCCUGAGGUACUGAGAUGCGAUUGUUGACUGUGUGAGUGUUAGUACUUGCUAGUACUUAAUCUCAACCUGAAAUUGCAUUUGUUGAAA